rnacentral:rRNA from 1 species
CUGCGAGUGAAGCGGGAAAAGCUCAAAUUUAAAAUCUGGCGGUUUCACCGUCCGAGUUGUAAUUUAGAGAAGUGUUACCCGUGCUGGACCGUGUACAAGUCUCCUGGAAUGGAGCGUCGUGGAGGGUGAGAAUCCCGUACAUGACACGGACUACCAGGACAUUGUGGUGCGCUCUCGAAGAGUCGAGUUGUUUGGGAAUGCAGCUCAAAAUGGGUGGUAAAUUCCAUCUAAAGCUAAAUAUUGGGGAGAGACCGAUAGCGAACAAGUACCGUGAGGGAAAGAUGAAAAGAACUUUGGAAAGAGAGUUAAACAGUACGUGAAAUUGCUGAAAGGGAAACGCUUGAAGUCAGUCGCGUUGUGCGGGAUUCAGCCUGGCUUUUGCUUGGUGUACUUCCUGUAUGACGGGUCAGCAUCAGUUUUGACCGGUGGAUAAGGGCGUAGGGAAUGUGGCAUCCUCGGAUGUGUUAUAGCCUUGCGUCGCAUACAUCGGUUGGGACUGAGGAACUCAGCACGCCGCAAGGCGGGGUUUUACCACCUUCGUGCUUAGGAUGCUGGCAUAAUGGCUUUAAUCGACCCGUCUUGAAACACGGACCAAGGAGUCUAACAUGCCUGCGAGUGUUUGGGUGUUAAACCCGAGCGCGUAAUGAAAGUGAAAGUUGAGAUCCCUGUCGUGGGGAGCAUCGACGCCCGGAGCAGAACUUUUGGGACGCAUCCGCGGUUGAGCAUGUAUGUUGGGACCCGAAAGAUGGUGAACUAUGCCUGAAUAGGGUGAAGCCAGAGGAAACUCUGGUGGAGGCUCGUAGCGAUUCUGACGUG